CUGGCUCAGGAUGAACGCUGGCGGCGUGCCUAACACAUGCAAGUCGAGCGGAGUUAACAGAAGAUUCUUCGGAUGAUUUUGUUAACUUAGCGGCGGAUGGGUGAGUAACACGUGGGUAAUCUGCCCUGCACAGGGGGAUAACAGCUGGAAACAGCUGUUAAUACCGCAUAUGCACACGUUAUCGCAUGAUAGAGUGUGGAAAGAUUUAUCGGUGCAGGAUGAGCCCGCGUCGGAUUAACUAGUUGGCAGGGUAACGGCCUACCAAGGUGAUGAUCCGUAGCCGGCCUGAGAGGGCGACCGGCCACAUUGGGACUGAGACACGGCCCAAACUCCUACGGGAGGCAGCAGUGGGGAAUAUUGCACAAUGGGCGCAAGCCCUGAUGCAGCGACGCCGCGUGAAGGAAGACGUAUUUCGGUAUGUAAACUUCUAUCAGCGGGGAAGAAGAUGACGGUACCCGACUAAGAAGCCCCGGCUAACUACGUGCCAGCCGCCGC
rnacentral:rRNA from 1 species